UGAGGAAUAUUGGUCAAUGGACGGAAGUCUGAACCAGCCAUGCCGCGUGAAGGAUGAAGGCGUUCUGCGUUGUAAACUUCUUUUAUCUGGGAAGAAACCACAGAUUUCUAUUUGUGUUGACGGUACCAGAAGAAUAAGCACCGGCUAACUCCGUGCCAGCAGCCGCGGUAAUACGGAGGGUGCGAGCGUUAUCCGGAUUUACUGGGUUUAAAGGGUGCGUAGGCGGGCUAUUAAGUCAGAGGUGAAAUCUCCGGGCUCAACCUGGAAACUGCCUUCGAUACUAUUAGCCUUGAAUGAUGUUGAGGUUGGCGGAAUAUAACAUGUAGCGGUGAAAUGCUUAGAUAUGUUAUGGAACACCGAUUGCGAAGGCAGCUGGCUAAACAUAUAUUGACGCUGAUGCACGAAAGCGUGGGUAGCGAACA
rnacentral:rRNA from 1 species